CCUACGGGAGACUGCAGUGAGGAAUAUUGGUCAAUGGUCGGGAGACUGAACCAGCCAAGCCGCGUGAGGGAUGAAGGUACAGAGUAUCGUAAACCUCUUUUGUCAGGGAACAAAGGCGGGGACGUGUCCCCGGCUGAGUGUACCUGAAGAACAAGCAUCGGCUAACUCCGUGCCAGCAGCCGCGGUAAUACGGAGGAUGCGAGCGUUAUCCGGAUUUAUUGGGUUUAAAGGGUGCGCAGGCGGUCUGUUAAGUCAGCGGUCAAAGCCCGGGGCUCAACCCCGGCCCGCCGUUGAAACUGGCAGUCUCGAGUUGGAGAGAAGUAUGCGGAAUGCGCGGUGUAGCGGUGAAAUGCAUAGAUAUCGCGCAGAACUCCGAUUGCGAAGGCAGCAUGCCGGCUCCACACUGACGCUGAGGCACGAAAGCGUGGGUAUCGAACAGGAUUAGAUACCCGGGUAGUC
rnacentral:rRNA from 1 species